GAGGGUAUAGCUCAAGUGGUAGAGCAUGUGUUUAGCACGCAUGAGGUCAUGGGUUCAAUCCCCAUUACCUUUC
rnacentral:tRNA from 1 species